UGCUCUCAAAUAAGUUCCAUUUUAGUUUAUUCACUUAAAAUGUAACAAUAGAGUAUGACAACAAAUGGUAAAUAUAAUAGGAAUUCAGAGGCAGAAAAACAUCUCUGUGAAGUGAGAUGCUUGUUUCACACGAAAAAAAGAUGUGAAGAAAUAAAAUACCCAAUGUUGAUGAAGAUAUAGAUGAUGAAUUUCCAGUGGGAGUAUGGGUCAUGUUACUCAGGGAAGCUUUAAAAUAUACAAUGAGAAGAAAAGGAGAGAAACAUGAGCAGACCUAGUGGAUUACAAAGGACCGGAGAAAGUAGGUCCUUGAUCUUCUCCUUACCCAGAAUACUCUCCUUUAAGUCCUGAUAAAUCUAUCCCAAGGAAAGAAUAGAGGAACAUCCUUGGGGUAGGCAGACC